GACGAACCGUGCAAACGUUAUUCGGAAUCACUGGGCAUAAAGGGCGCGUAGGCGGCUCCAAAAGUCAGGGGUGAAAUCCGGCAGCUUAACUGUCGCAGUGCCUUUGAUACUGUGGAGCCAGAGGGAGGUAGGGGUCUGUGGAACUUCCGGUGGAGCGGUGAAAUGCGUUGAUAUCGGAAGGAACGCCGGUGGCGAAAGCGACGGACUGGAUCUCUUCUGACGCUGAGGCGCGAAAGCCAGGGGAGCAAACGGG
rnacentral:rRNA from 1 species